AUUGAACGCUGGCGGCAUGCUUUACACAUGCAAGUCGAACGGUAACAGGCCUUCGGGUGCUGACGAGUGGCGAACGGGUGAGUAAUGCAUCGGAACGUGCCCAAUCGUGGGGGAUAACGUAGCGAAAGUUACGCUAAUACCGCAUAAGCCCUGAGGGGGAAAGCAGGGGAUCGCAAGACCUUGCGCGAAUGGAGCGGCCGAUGUCAGAUUAGCUAGUUGGUGGGGUAAAGGCCUACCAAGGCGACGAUCUGUAGCGGGUCUGAGAGGAUGAUCCGCCACACUGGGACUGAGACACGGCCCAGACUCCUACGGGAGGCAGCAGUGGGGAAUUUUGGACAAUGGGCGCAAGCCUGAUCCAGCCAUGCCGCGUGCGGGACGAAGGCCUCGGUUGUAACCUCUUUGGUCAGGAACGAAACCUAGCGCUAUACGCGCAGCUGAGGGUACC
rnacentral:rRNA from 1 species